rnacentral:rRNA from 1 species
AUGAUGUUUCCGAGGGACUGGGCGUGUCCAAAACGUAGCAGCACAAAAGUCUCGAUCGGGAGCACUCGUUUGGGCAUCCUUGGUCUUGCCGGCGGUGUCGGUCUCCUCGGGUCAAACGUGAUGUGCAAGGGCCAGAGCGGCCGGCAGCUUGGGUGGCUCCUCAAGGCUAUGGCGAUGAUAGGCCGCAGGAGGCUGCUAGACGAGGCCGAGCGACGACUAGAAGGUCCUGCUCUGUCAGCUUGCAAGUGGUGGGUGAACGCAGGCAGCAGCAAGGCUUCGGGCGCGAGGGAGAAGGAGCCGGUGCGUGGGAAGGAGAAACGUGGGAAGUCAAAGCGGGGCUGCAGCGCGGACAAGACGGGCAGAAGGCGCUCGGGAUCGAACUCCUCUCGCCCUAGAGCAGGGUUGCAGGCGCGGGAUGGAGGUGGACGCCCGACGAGGAUGGCGGCUUGGGCCUCCAUGGGAGGCGACUUGGUCGGCGCGGUCGCGUGGUGCAGCAAGGCGACGAGGACGAGGCACUUCGGGGCAGCAAGGCGGAGGGCGGAGCAGAGGCGGCGUCUCUCUGUCGGAGAUGAAGAUGGGGAGGCAUGGAGGACGCUGGCUCGGGUGGAGGUCGGGCCGGAGCUCCUGCUGGCCGCGAGGUCGAGGCGGAUUGGGAAGGAUGAGGGGUGA